UGAAAAUUUGAUACACACAAAAGUAACUAAAAAAUUUAACAAAAUUUUUGUAUAAAUAAAGCAUACAUAUUUUCAUCCACAAUGUGCAGCCCGGUUCAAUGCUUACCAGAUUACAAAGAGCCACCAGAAUAUAUUCCAUGCAUCCCUGUCAGAGGUCCACCAUGUUUACCCUGCGGCAUGGACCCCGUCACCGUGCGUCGCCCGCUUAUCGUCCAUGACAGUACUUUCGACUACCGACCCACAAGCUGGCCCGGCAUGGUGCUGAACAACCAAGACAAGAAAGUUCGCUACCAACUCAUUAACUAUGAAAGACCGGUUAAGUCGCACUACCCAACGUGCUCGCCUUCCUACAACUCCUGCUAGACAAUCAGAGGCUGUGGCGGCUGUCCGCCUCCUUGCUGUCGGCGGCCAUGUUGUCGGCCCUGCUGUGGCGGCGGCCCUGGCUCUCUCGUCACAGUAUACAGUCAAGUAGCAAAUAUCCAGUGAUACGUCUACGACGCACGCGAUUUUUACUAAAUGCUGUAUUGGCUGUGGGGCAGCCACCCAUGCCAGUCGCAGCUUUUGACAAGGCUGUCAUAGCCAUCGGUCACCAUUGAAGUCUUGGUUUUAGCUAGAAUUUGAAUUAAUUUCUUGCGAAAGUGAAAGUUCUGUCCCGUUAACCGUAUAGUGAUUAAUGCUGAUUGUAUUACGUAAAAGUGUCAAUAAAAAUUGUUAUAUUGAA